CCACACCUCCCUUCUCCCCCGCGGGGGGAGGCACAUUGUCAGUGGCGCAGUGUCCGCUUUCAAGCAGAGCUGCACGGCGCACUCUCAAAGAGAAGCAAGGUAGCGGACGGAGGAGCUUCUGCCGAAAGACUAACUGAGGAUAUUUCAUUCUUCUACUUCUUCUUCUUCUUCACUUCUUCACGGACGAGACACGCAAGCACGGAUCGCAACUAAAUGACCACCGCACCUGGUGUGUCUUUCUGAUGCUCUUGGCCCCCUGAGGCCUGAGGAGAAGUGAGCCAAACUCAGGCCAGCCAUGGGACGCCCUGUCACCCAGCAUGCACUGCUGCUGAUGCAGUGCAUGCUGGUCCUGCGGCUCGGAGGCGUGGCCAGCAGGAGAGGACCCGUGCUGCUACCCGAGUCGCCUUGUCACAAGACCGAGCACCCCAUUAUCCCCCACUUGGGCAUGGAGCCGUGGAUGUUCCGCUUCAAGGCGGCGGGCACGGUGGAUUAUUCGCAGCUGACCUUCGACCCUGGCCAAAAUGAACUGAUUGUGGGUGCCAGAAAUCACCUCUUUCGGCUCAAUCUGGAGGAUUUGACACUGAUCCAGGAGGCUGAGUGGCACUGCGAUGAGUUCACCAAGGGAGCCUGCUUCAGCCGAGGAAAGUCUGAGGAGGAGUGCCAGAACUACAUUAGGGUGCUGCUGGUGAAUGGGAACAGGCUGUUUACAUGUGGGACCAAUGCUUUUACUCCCAUCUGCACCAACCGAACGCUGACAAAUCUGACUGAGAUCCACGAUCAGUUCAGCGGAAUGGCUCGGUGUCCUUACAAUCCCCUUCACAACUCCACUGCCCUCAUCACGUCCAGCGGAGAGCUUUACGCAGCCACGGCCAUGGAUUUCUCCGGGCGAGACCCUGCCAUCUACCGCAGCCUGGGCGGCCUGCCACCUCUGCGCACUGCCCAGUACAACUCCAAGUGGCUUAACGAACCAAACUUUGUGUCAUCCUACGACAUCGGCAACUUCACCUACUUCUUCUUUCGGGAGUAUGCUGUCGAGCACGACUGCGGUCGCACCGUCUUCUCCCGGGCGGGCCGCGUGUGCAAGAACGACAUCGGCGGACGCUUCCUGCUGGAGGACACGUGGACGACGUUCAUGAAGUCCAGACUCAACUGUUCCAGACCGGGAGAAAUCCCCUUUUACUACAACGAGCUGCAGGGGACCUUCUACCUGCCCGAGCUGGAGCUGCUCUACGGCAUCUUCACUACCAACGUAAACAGCAUUGCUGCUUCUGCUGUGUGUGCCUUCAAUCUCAGUGCCGUAUCGCAGGUCUUCAACGGACCCUUCAAGUACCAGGAGAACUCUCGCUCAGCCUGGCUGCCCUAUCCCAACCCCAACCCCGACUUUCAGUGCGGCACCGUCGACUCAGGCUCCUACGUCAACUUGACAGAGAGAAACCUGCAAGACGCCCAGAAGUUUUUACUCAUGCACGAGGUUGUCCAGCCCGUUGCUCCUGUGCCCUACUUCAUGGAGGACAGCGUCCGCUUCAGCCAUGUGGCCGUGGACGUGGUGCAGGGCAAAGACAUGCUCUUUCACAUCAUUUAUUUAGCUACUGAUUACGGCACCAUCAGAAAAGUGCUCUCCCCACUCAAUCAGUCCACAGGGAGCUGCCUUUUGGAAGAGAUCGAACUGUUCCCGCCCAGGAAGAGGCAGCCCAUCCGGAGCCUGCUGAUCCUGCACAGCCGAAGCGAGCUCUACGUGGGAGUACGAGACCAGGUCAUCAAGAUCCCCCUGAAGAGGUGUAGCUACCACAAGAGCAGAGAAGCAUGUGUCGGGGCCAGAGACCCUUACUGUGGUUGGGAUCUGCUACUGAAGAAAUGCACCACCUUAGAGGAGAGCGCCAGGAUGAACCAAUGGGAGCAGAGCAUCACAAAGUGCCCUGUCCGUAAUGUGACAGUUGACGGAGGUUUUGGAGCCUGGUCAGGGUGGUCCACCUGUAGCCAUAGCGACGGCGCCAGCGCGGGGUCCUGCUUGUGUCGGACGCGGGCCUGCGAUAGCCCCGCCCCCCAGUGUGGCGGCCAGAAGUGUCACGGGAUCAGCGUUGAAGUGGCAAACUGUUCCAGAAACGGAGCAUGGACUCCCUGGACUUCCUGGUCCCCAUGCAGCACCAGUUGCGGCAUUGGUUUCCAGGUGCGCCAGCGCUCCUGCAGCAACCCCACGCCCCGCCAUGGAGGACGUGUGUGUGUGGGCCAGAACCGCGAGGAGAGGUACUGCAAUGAACACCUGCCCUGCCCUCCCCAUGUUUACUGGUCGGCUUGGUCGGCAUGGGAACGCUGCAACGUGCCUUGCGGCGGGGGCAUCCAGUCGCGACGGAGAACUUGUGAGAACGGCAACGACUGUCCCGGGUGUGGCCAGGAGUACCAGCCAUGCAACAGCCAGCCUUGUCCUGACCUGAAGAAGACGACCCCUUGGACCCCGUGGACGCCGGUCAAUAUAUCCGACAACGGCGGGCACUACGAGCAGCGAUUCCGUUACACCUGCAAGGCUCGCGUACCAGACCCCGGAUUACUGGAGGUGGGCCGGCAGAGGAUUGAGAUGCGCUACUGCUCUAGCGACGGGUCUACCGGCUGCUCCACUGAUGGCGAGGUUCUUCAUCUGGGGAAGAUCUCCGGGCGCACCGUGAAUGGCGGCUGGUCCUCGUGGUCUUCCUGGUCCCAGUGCAGCAGAGACUGCAGCCGCGGGAUCCGCAGCCGGAAGCGGACUUGCAGCAACCCAGAGCCCAAGUAUGGCGGGCACACCUGCCAGGGGUCGGCGCAGGAAUACCAGGAGUGCAACGUUACACCAUGUCCUGUGGAUGGCAGCUGGUCCUGUUGGUCUUCAUGGUCCAAGUGCUCUGUGACGUGCGGAGGAGGACACUACAUGAGGACUCGAACUUGCAGUAACCCCCCACCCGCUUACGGAGGUGACAUCUGCCUUGGCCUGCACACUGAGGAGGCACUUUGCAACACUCAAGCUUGUCCAGAGACCUGGUCCAGCUGGUCCCAGUGGUCCCAGUGCAACUCCAGGGGUGCCCAGUUGCGUGUCCGUCACUGUGAUGUCCUCUUUCCUACUGGAAAUCAGUGCUCGGGAAACAACAGCGAGAGCCGACCGUGCUCGCCCGACUCCAACCUUAUCCCAGAAGUCUCCAUUGCACACUCCAGCCAGGAGGAGAGGCGCUGUGGAGAAUUCAACCUCUUCCACAUGAUGGCCGUGGGACUGAGCAGCUCCAUCCUGGGCUGCCUGCUCACCCUGCUGGUGUACUCCUACUGCCAGCGCUACCAGCAGCAGUCGCACGACGCCACCGUCAUCCACCCCAUCUCGGCCGCGCCGCUCAACACCAGCAUCACCAACCACAUCAACAAGCUGGACAAAUACGACACGGUGGAAGCCAUUAAGCCUGACGUUUCGGUUCUGUUGCCGCUGGAUGAGCCCGCCAUGCACCAGCCAGUUUCUGCUAACAUGGGGGUGUCCAUGCGGGGCCUGGAGAUUUUCUACUAACCUCUGACCUCUCGACAACAUCCCGCCUUUUGACCGCUCCCCCACCUUCCCGACAACUUUCUGACAUAAACCACCACCACUGCUACUACUUCUUUCUCGUCCUUUCCCACCACCGCCAUCGUGCACCUUCCACUUCCUGUGCGUGACAGGUUGGAGUACAGGCCUUCAACAAAAACAAUCUGAUUCUGGAGGAACGCAAGAAGUACUUCAGCACGCAGUUGGCGGGGAAAACGUACACCAACACAUACUUCAGCGACCUCAACACCUACGAUGACUAUUAGGCCCGAAUUCUGCCAAAAACAGAAACUUUUUUAUUUUUUUCUUCUGGUCCCAUGUUGACUGAAUCCUUCGUGUGUGUUUUGUAUCGAGAUUUGUGGCCGCCCUCGCUUAGGCUCUCUUGGCAGUGAAAAACAGACAACUGACUGGUCGCCAUGCCAACAGAGGGAGGGGCCCACUCUCUUAGGUGCCUUGAGGUACACUCGGAAGGAAAGGUGUCUUACUAAGAAAUGGACAAAUGAGCUUCCCUUGACAGGAAGUUUGUGCUGUCCUGUGAUUUGCAUGACUCCGCCCCUUUUACAUAAUCCCAUUUGCAUGACGCCAUUCCAUUUUUUUUGCCUUUUUUGGUGGGGUAGGGGAAGGGGGCGGGGGGACGGGCAGGAAUUAGGAUGUAGAUAUUUAAAGUUAGACACUUUUAUUCCCACUCAGCUAUGAAGGAAUUGCAAAAAAAACCAACAUAAUAGUGUGAAGUGUUAAAAUGAUUUGGUGACAAGUCAGAUGCAGUACGCCUACUAACCAGCCUGCAUCGAUUCAGUCCAUUACACUACUUUUUUAUAUUUUUAUGUAAAAAAAAAAAAAAAAGAAGAACAAGAAAAAACACGAUAAUAGUGAUUGCUAUUUUUUGUCUUUGUAUUUGUGGGAGCAGGAUGUUGAUGAAAUGCAUUUAUUGUAGCAAAAACCCUUUUCCCACGUGUACUGCAAGAUGGCGCUCAAGUCAUCGAUUGACGUCAAAAUAUUCGGUUAUUUGGUCGCGACUAACUUUUUACAUGUCCGCUUGUGUUACUGUGCAUAAAUUAAACGCUGCUUCCUACACAA